GGGCGGUUAGUCUAAACAAGACAACUAAUUUCGACUUAGUAAAUACUGGUUUAAACCCUCUACCACCCU
rnacentral:tRNA from 1 species